UACAGAGGUCUCAAGCGUUGUUCGGAUUCAUUGGGAGUAAAGGGUGCGUAGGUGGCGCCGUAAGUCGGGUGUGAAAUUUCGGAGCUUAACUCCGAAACUGCAUUCGAUACUGCGGUGCUUGAGGACUGGAGAGGAGACUGGAAUUCAUGGUGUAGCAGUGAAAUGCGUAGAGAUCAUGAGGAAGACCAGUGGCGAAGGCGGGUCUCUGGACAGUUCCUGACACUGAGGCACGAAGGCCAGGGGAGCAAACGGG
rnacentral:rRNA from 1 species